CACACACUGGGUUCCACUCCCCAUCUCCACCCCAUGACAAUGGCUUAAUUUAGUCUUCUUGCAUUCAACCAAUCCAAGCCAUCACUCCUCCUACUCAGGGGUAGGGUGAAGGUAGCCACAAGGUUCUUUAGUCCGAGCAGCUGUCUGCUUACUCUUUCAGAUCAAGCUUGGACGCUGCCUCCUUUGGGAGACUCUUCUCUGAGUCCUCUGCCCAACCUUUUCUGUAUAUUCUUUGAGGGAUUACAGAUAGACUGAACAACCAUCUAGACGCUGACUCUCGCAAUCCAGGUCUUCUGCUAGAUUAGAACCACUCCAGGUAUGGGACCUGCUGUUAACAGAAUAUUCUUUAAAGUCUUUAUUGGAGAAGUUGCUUGGGGCUUGGGAGAUAGGUAAAGAGCUUGCCAGUGUCCUCCUAUACAUGCACAUAUGCAUACACACACACACGCAUAUACAUCUGCACACAUAAACUGUUCAUAUAUAUGCUUUUAAACACACAAAGGAUGUUAGAGUAUACUGAUUUUGAGAGUACAAGCACUGGAACCUAGGGCCUGUGCAUACCAAAAUUGUGGUAAACCACUGAGCUACCACCUUCUCCCCGCCCCCCAAGUUUUAACUUAAUCUUUGAAAAGUUUCACCCAGCUCCCAAGUACUCUGAACUUGCCAGGUGGUCAAGAGUUUAUCUCAUGAUUUCCGAGAGCGCUCAGGAUAGAGCUGAAAGUGUGUAGACAUACCCUCAGCCCUUAAGGAACCCAUCAUGUCUUAGGAGACAGAAACCAUCUGGAAAAGGAAAAGGAAAUUAUAAGACAUGAGCAGAAAGGCAGAGAAAGCUUGGGGGAGGGCACUGGAGUGAGCCUGGCAGGCGUCACAUUCGAGUUGCUUUCUGGCUGGUGGAGUGCUUAAUGCAGACUCUGUGAAGAACCUCAAGCAGACAGCCACAGCAAGGACGCCUCAAUGCUCUGCGGUCUGUUUGACUCAAGUUUCUUACGUGCGGCCCACCAGUCUCCUCCUGCGGCCAUCUGUAUUCAGUGAGUGCAGGUGGUGUAAAAAGUCUUGGUCCGCUGGCUAUUCUGCCACACCUUUGGCAUGAAAGACAGUGAGAGGGAGUUGACUCUGUCUGCCCAGAAGUUAUGAGGUCCUCAACAGUCUUGGGCGAGGUAAUCUAUGACGGGGACACACGGAAGUUACUCAACAGUCCCAGACCAGGUAAUCUAUGACCAUUCACACGGAAGCCACCUGUUGGAUUUAGGCUACAGAGUGCUAAUCCUACAUCUCACAAAUACAGAAUCUAAAUAUUAGUUAAGUAACUUGGCCACAGUUACACAGCUCUUCGAUGGAGGUCCAGGAUCCUAGCCCAGGUUUUCACAUGCACAGCAAGGAAAUGAUGUAUCUAACAGAGGAUAACUCAAAGGAU